rnacentral:rRNA from 1 species
UACAGAGGGUGCGAGCGUUAAUCGGAAUGACUGGGCGUAAAGGGCGCGUAGGCGGUUAUUCAAGUGAGAUGUGAAAUCCCCGGGCUUAACCUGGGAACUGCAUUUUAGACUGGAUAACUGGAGUACUGUAGAGGGCAGUGGAAUUUCCGGUGUAGCGGUGAAAUGCGUAGAGAUCGGAAGGAACACCAGUGGCGAAGGCGACUGUCUGGGCAGAUACUGACGCUGAGGCGCGAAAGCGUGGGGAGCAAACAGGAUUAGAUACCCUGGUAGUCCACGCUGUAAACGAUGAGAACUGGAUGUUGCGGGGCCUGGCCCUGCAGUAUCGAAGCAAACGCGAUAAGUUCUCCGCCUGGGGAGUACGGCCGCAAGGUUAAA